GAUGAAGAACGUAGCGAAAUGCUAUAAGUAAUGUGAAUUGCAGAAUUCAGUGAAUCAUCGAAUCUUUGAACGCACAUUGCGCCCGCCAGUAUUCUGGCGGGCAUGCCUGUUCGAGCGUCAUUUCAACCAUCAAGCCCCCGGGCUUGUGUUGGGGACCUGCGGCUGCCGCAGGCCCUGAAAAGCAGUGGCGGGCUCGCUGUCACACCGAGCGUAGUAGCAUACAUCUCGCUCUGGGCGUGCUGCGGGUUCCGGCCGUUAAACCACCUUUUAACCCAAGGUUGACCUCGGAUCAGGUAGGAAGACCCGCUGAACUUAAGCAUAUCAAUAAGCGGAGGA
rnacentral:misc_RNA from 1 species